rnacentral:tRNA from 1 species
GCGGGCGUGGUGCAAUGGUAGCGCUUCAGCCUUCCAAGCUGAUAACGCGGGUUCGAUUCCCGUCGCCCGCUCCA